rnacentral:misc_RNA from 1 species
CGCACAUUGCGCCCAUUAGUAUUCUAGUGGGCAUGCCUGUUCGAGCGUCAUUAAGUCCACUUAAGCCCAGCUUAGUGUUGGGAGACUACUUUAGCGGAGCUACCCUGUAGCUACCCUGUAGCUCCUCAAAGACAGCGGCGGAGUUGUGACAUCCUCUGAGCUUAGUAAUUUAUUCUAGCUUUCGAGAACAUCACUUCCCUUGCCGUUAAACCACCAAAUUUUAAUGGUUGACCUCGGAUCAGGUAGGAAUACCCGCUGAACUUAA